rnacentral:misc_RNA from 1 species
GAUGAAGAACGCAGCAAAAUGCGAUAAGUAAUGUGAAUUGCAGAAUUCAGUGAAUCAUCGAAUCUUUGAACGCACAUUGCGCCAGCCAGUAUUCUGGCGGGCAUGCCUGUUCGAGCGUCAUUUCAACCCUCAAGCACAGCUUGGUGUUGGGACUCGCGUUAAUUCGCGUUCCCCAAAUUGAUUGGCGGUCACGUCGAGCUUCCAUAGCGUAGUAGUAAAACCCUCGUUACUGGUAAUCGUCGCGGCCACGCCGUUAAACCCCAACUUCUGAAUGUUGACCUCGGAUCAGGUAGGAAUACCCGCUGAACUUAAGCAUAUCAAUAAGCGGAGGA